GAAAGGUGAAGGACCCGGUCUUCGGACUGGGAGCGUACACAGGUGCUGCAUGGCUGUCGUCAGCUCGUGUCGUGAGAUGUUGGGUUAAGUCCGCAACGAGCGCAACCCCUGCUGCCAGUUGCCAACGGGUGAAGCCGGGCACUCUGGCGGGACUGCCAUCGACAAGAUGGAGGAAGGUGGGGGAGUGACGUCAAGUCAUCAUGGCCCUUACUGUCCAGGGCGGACACACGUGCUACAAUGGCCGGCACAGCGGGAAGCGAGGCAGUGAUGCCAAGCGGAUCCCUUAAAGCCGGUCUCAGUUCGGAUUGAAGUCUGCAACUCGACUUCAUGAAGCUGGAAUCGCUAGUAAUCGCAGAUCAGCCAAGCUGCGGUGAAUACGUUCCCGGGCCUU
rnacentral:rRNA from 1 species